UACGUAGGCAGCAAGCGUUGUUCGGAGUUACUGGGCGUAAAGAGUGCGUAGGCGGUCCUGUAAGUUUGGUGUGAAAUCUCUCGGCUCAACUGGGAGGGUGCGCCGAAGACUGCAAGGCUUGAGUGCGGCAGAGGAGACUGGAAUUCCAGGUGUAGCGGUGAAAUGCGUAGAUAUCUGGAGGAACACCGGUGGCGAAGGCGGCAUCCUGGACCGACACUGACGCUGAGGAGCGAAAGCCAGGGGAGCAAACGGG
rnacentral:rRNA from 1 species